CCAGCCUGCCCAGUGACUCUGUUCAACGGCCGCGGUAUCCUAACCGUGCGAAGGUAGCGUAAUCACUUGUUCUUUAAAUGAGGACUAGUAUGAAUGGCACCACGAAGGUUAUACUGUCUCCUUUUUCUAAUCAGUGAAACUAAUCUUCCCGUGAAGAAGCGGGAAUAAAAAUAUAAGACGAGAAGACCCUAUGGAGCUUUAAACAAAUAUACACCUGCCUUACCACCAAAAAAAUUUCAGCAAACAAAUAAUUACCCAGGCAUUUUGAUAUAGCGUUUUAGGUUGGGGUGACCACGGAGCAAAAAACAACCUCCGCAACGAACGGGAAAUCUUUCCCUAAACCAAGGGCCACGACCCCAAGUAUCGAUAAAUCGACACUAAUUGACCCAAUAAAUUUGAUCAAUGAACCAAGUUACCCUAGGGAUAACAGCGCAAUCCACUUCAAGAGCCCCUAUCGACAAGUGGGUUUACGACCUCGAUGUUGGAUCAGGGUAUCCCAGUGGUGCAGCCGCUACUAACGGUUCGUUUGUUCAACGAUUAAAACCCU
rnacentral:rRNA from 1 species